GACGAACGCUGGCGGCGUGCUUAACACAUGCAAGUCGAACGGAAAGGCCCUUCGGGGUACUCGAGUGGCGAACGGGUGAGUAACACGUGGGUGAUCUGCCCUGCACUUUGGGAUAAGCCUGGGAAACUGGGUCUAAUACCGAAUAUGACCAUGCGCCUCCUGGUGUGUGGUGGAAAGCUUUUGCGGUGUGGGAUGGGCCCGCGGCCUAUCAGCUUGUUGGUGGGGUAAUGGCCUACCAAGGCGACGACGGGUAGCCGGCCUGAGAGGGUGACCGGCCACACUGGGACUGAGAUACGGCCCAGACUCCUACGGGAGGCAGCAGUGGGGAAUAUUGCACAAUGGGCGCAAGCCUGAUGCAGCGACGCCGCGUGAGGGAUGACGGCCUUCGGGUUGUAAACCUCUUUCAGCACAGACGAAGCGCAAGUGACGGUAUGUGCAGAAGAAGGACCGGCCAACUACGUGCCAGCAGCCGCGGUAAUACGUAGGGUCCGAGCGUUGUCCGGAAUUACUGGGCGUAAAGAGCUCGUAGGUGGUUUGUCGCGUUGUUCGUGAAAACUCACAGCUUAACUGUGGGCGUGCGGGCGAUACGGGCAGACUUGAGUACUGCAGGGGAGACUGGAAUUCCUGGUGUAGCGGUGGAAUGCGCAGAUAUCAGGAGGAACACCGGUGGCGAAGGCGGGUCUCUGGGCAGUAACUGACGCUGAGGAGCGAAAGCGUGGGGAGCGAACAGGAUUAGAUACCCUGGUAGUCCACGCCGUAAACGGUGGGUACUAGGUGUGGGUUUCCUUCCUUGGGAUCCGUGCCGUAGCUAACGCAUUAAGUACCCCGCCUGGGGAGUACGGCCGCAAGGCUAAAACUCAAAGAAAUUGACGGGGGCCCGCACAAGCGGCGGAGCAUGUGGAUUAAUUCGAUGCAACGCGAAGAACCUUACCUGGGUUUGACAUGCACAGGACGACUGCAGAGAUGUGGUUUCCCUUGUGGCCUGUGUGCAGGUGGUGCAUGGCUGUCGUCAGCUCGUGUCGUGAGAUGUUGGGUUAAGUCCCGCAACGAGCGCAACCCUUGUCCUAUGUUGCCAGCGGGUUAUGCCGGGGACUCGUAGGAGACUGC
rnacentral:rRNA from 1 species